UAGUAGAUUCAGAUUCAGACAGGUAUGACUUUUUAUUUUUAUAACAAGCCAGGAGAUGGAAAUGUUAAAGACCAGUGCCACCUCGAAUCCCCGGGUGUGAAUACUUCGUCUGUCACGACUGUCACUGGGAAUCCACAGGAGGUGAACUGAAUAAGAUUAGACUAUUUACCCCAUCAACUCUCCAUCAAAGAAGGAUUUAAAACUGCACCUGAGGAUGAUCUAAACCAAGAUCUUAUUUCUAACAAAAGAUUCGUAUAAACGUUAAAGUACCCCAGGACUAAAUUCUCGCUUUAUUGACGCAUCGCGAUGUGACUAAUGACUAGUAUCGUUUCCUUUACUUCGAUUUGUCUGUUGUCUGUUGAUUUGUCUGUUCCUCGUUUGUCAUUUAGACCUGAGCUUCGUGCAAGUUUUUCAAAUUUGAUGGAAAGUGAAACUAUUUGACAAAGACUUACGGGGUUUUGUUAGAUCUGGGAUUUUUUUUUUUUUCUGUUGUUGUUUUUCAGGG